AUUGAACGCUGGCGGCAUGCUUUACACAUGCAAGUCGAACGGCAGCACGGGCUUCGGCCUGGUGGCGAGUGGCGAACGGGUGAGUAAUAUAUCGGAACGUACCCAGAAGUGGGGGAUAACGUAGCGAAAGUUACGCUAAUACCGCAUACGAUCUAUGGAUGAAAGCAGGGGACCGCAAGGCCUUGUGCUCCUGGAGCGGCCGAUAUCUGAUUAGCUAGUUGGUGAGGUAAAGGCUCACCAAGGCGACGAUCAGUAGCUGGUCUGAGAGGACGACCAGCCACACUGGAACUGAGACACGGUCCAGACUCCUACGGGAGGCAGCAGUGGGGAAUUUUGGACAAUGGGCGCAAGCCUGAUCCAGCAAUGCCGCGUGAGUGAAGAAGGCCUUCGGGUUGUAAAGCUAUUUUGUCAGGGAAGAAACGGUAGAGGCUAAUAUCCUUUGCUAAUGACGGUACCUGAAGAAUAAGCACCGGCUAACUACGUG
rnacentral:rRNA from 1 species